rnacentral:rRNA from 1 species
ACGCUGGCGGCGUGCCUAAUACAUGCAAGUCCGAGCCGGAGUUGAAUAAGUGCUUGCACUAAUUCAACUUAGCGGCGAACGGGUGAGUAACACGUAAAGAACCUGCCUCAUAGACUGGGACAACUACUGGAAACGGUAGCUAAUACCGGAUAACAUAUUUUUCUGCAUGGAAGAAUAUUGAAAGUCGGUCAUGCUGACACUAUGAGAUGGCUUUGCGGNGCAUUAGCUAGUUGGUAGGGUAAAAGCCUACCAAGGCGACGAUGCAUUAGCCGACCUGAAAAGGGUGAUCGGCCCCACUGGGGACUUGAAGACACCGGGCCCAGACUUCUUCGGGGAGGCCGCAGUNNNNNAUCUUCCGCAUGGACUAAAUCUGACGGAGCAACGCCGCGUGAGUGAAGAAGGAUUUCGGUUCGUAAAACUCUGUUGUUAGGGAAGAAUGAUUGUAUAGUAACUAUAUACAGUAGAGACGGUACCUAACCAGAAAGCCACGGCUAACUACGUGCCAGCAGCCGCGGUAAUACGUAGGUGGCAAGCGUUGUCCGGAAUUAUUCGGGCAGUAAAGCGCGCGCAGGUGGUUUAAAAAGUCUGAUGUGAAAGCCCACGGCUCAACCGUGGAAGGUCAUUGGAAACUGUUAAACUUGAGUGCAGGGAGAGAAAAGUGGAAUUCCUAGUUGUAGCCGGUGAAAUGCCGUAGAGAUUAGGAGGAACACCMGUGGCSAAAGGCGGCUUUUUAGGCCUGUAACUUGACACUUGAGGCCCGAAAGCCGUGGGGAGCAAACAGGAUUAGAUACCCUGGUAGUCCACGCCGUAAACCGAUGAGUUGCUAAGUGUUGGAGUCAUAAGACUUCAGUGCUGCAGCUAACGCAUUAAGCACUCCGCCUGGGGAGUACGGUCGCAAGACUGAAACU